rnacentral:rRNA from 1 species
CAGCCGCCGCGGGAAUACGAAGGGUGCAAGCGUUAAUCGGAAUUACUGGGCGUAAAGCGUGCGUAGGCGGUUUGUUAAGUCUGUUGUGAAAUCCCCGGGCUCAACCUGGGAAUGGCAAUGGAUACUGGCAAGCUAGAGUGUGUCAGAGGAUGGUGGAAUUCCCGGUGUAGCGGUGAAAUGCGUAGAGAUCGGGAGGAACAUCAGUGGCGAAGGCGGCCAUCUGGGACAACACUGACGCUGAGGCACGAAAGCGUGGGGAGCAAACAGGAUUAGAUACCCCAGUAGUCCCUGUCUCUUAUAC